GAUGAACGCUGGCGGCGUGCCUAACACAUGCAAGUCGAGCGAACAGACGAGGAGCUUGCUCCCCUGACGUCAGCGGGGGACGGGUGAGUAACAUGUGGAUAACCUACCUAUAAGACUGGGAUAACUUCGGGAAACCGGAGCUAAUACCGGAUAAUAUAUUGAAUCGCAUGGUUCAAGAGUUAAAGUCGGUUUUGCUGUCACUUAUAGAUGGAUCCGCGCCGCAUUAGCUAGUUGGUAAGGUAACGGCUUACCAAGACUACGACGCGUAGACGACCUGAGAGGGUGAUCGGCCACACUGGAACUGAGACACGGUCCAGACUCCUACGGGAGGCAGCAGUAGGGAAUCUUCCGCAAUGGGGGAAAGCUUGACGGAGCAACGCCGCGUGAAGGAUGAAGGUCUUCGGAUCGUAAAGCGCUGUUAUUAGGGAAGAAGAAAUGUGUAAGUAACUAUGCACGUCUUGACGGUACCUGAUGAGAAAGCCACGGCUAACUACGUG
rnacentral:rRNA from 1 species